UCCAAAGAAAUCGAAACAAAAACGAAUCAACAAGACAACAGAAAUCUCAUGUAAUAAUCAUGGGGGUUAUGGCAUUUGAGGCGAUGUGAACAAGAUGGCAAUAUCAAAUCAUGCAAAGGAGAAAUGUUAAAUACCAAAUCGGAGCUAGUCCGACGUUUCAACUCCGGCAAGGUGAGGGGGCUUAGCUCGAGCUUGUUGAGCUUCGGUGUGAAAAUCUCAACAAGUUCAAAACAGAGCUUUUUUAACUAGGGUUUUGGAAUGAUUUCUCCAGAGUAACGGCGCAGAAAUUCGGAUCCCUACUUCAUCCCUGGAGGUCCUUAUUUAUAGCAUUUUUGAUGUACGAGGUUUUGAAUUCCUCUCUCAUGAGCUUGGCAAGUUAGUGGGAGAAUCAUUCCGUUAGGUAGCAGAAUUUCUCAGAGUUAGUGGUGCUUCAAAUCGGUGUGGUCCCUCAAAUGGCAGGAUGAGGUUUUGUCUGUAGUGAAUCCGUGGUUUAUGUUGUGAUAGAUGCAUGUUUACAAGGUU